UUUAUUGUUUCAACAAAAACUGGUUCAGCUCGAGUUCCAUCUUAAAACACAAUACACUAAUAAACACUAUUGUCUCUAGAAAUCGUGUAACUUCCACCAUCAGUGCGUACUAAAAUGAAGCCAAACGUAGAGCAUAUCUGCAAUCCCGGUACUCGGCAAGUUGAGGCAGGGGGAUUUCCUCGGGUUGGAGACCAACCUGGACCACAUAGCAAGACUGUCUCAAAAACAAUCAACUAACAAUGCACACAUAUUUUCUCUAAGACUUGCCUGGCGUGGGCCACGGCGCACGCCUGCGAACCCAACACUUGCAAGGCAGAAGCGGAAGGCUAGCAGCAAGCUGUAGGCCAGUCGGCGCUAAAUAAGCGAGCUCGGUGCCAGCGAGGGCUACGUGGCAGGCAAGAAGACACAAAGACGGGAGAGGAAACAACGUAAAAAGUGUUUUGCAUACAUGCGUGUAUGUACAUCAUGUGCCUGCUGUGCCAGUGGACGUCAGAAGAGAGCAUGAGAUCUCCUGGAGCUGGAAAAUAGUCAUGAGCUACCAUGUGUAUGCUGGGAACUAAACCAGAGUCCCCUGAAGUCUCCUGUAGCCCACGCUGAUCUCAUGGAGCCAAGGAUGACCUUGAACUUCUGAUCUUCCUGCUUCGCCUUCCAAGUUCUGGGAUUACAGGAACUGCCUCCCUGAUGUUCCCACCACUGUAUUUGACAAAAGCUUUGCGACUUUCUUUUGCCCUGUGACUACAGACGUUCAUGUGACCUCUCCACCAUGGAACACAUCAUUCCAGGAAAUGAAAAGCUAUGGAUUCCUUCAAAAUUAAUAAAGAUCCUAUUUGACUGGGAGAGACCUCCUGAAUAUCUUGGCUGCAGACAUGAAGGAAAAAAACAAGAAAAACUACAAGACAGGUCUUCAAUUUUACUGUUAAAGAAACAUGAACCAAAGAAUGUCAGUCAAAUUUGUUACUGAAACUCGGAUUAAGUAAACACGAAUUUAAAAGUUGGGAAAAAGGUUGAACAUCUCUAUUUGAACAGAAGAAAACUACAGGCUGAUGGCUGACUUUCUUCACUAAGCGAGAUCUAGACAGUGUCGGGGGAAUGCCAGACAGCAGAGAAACAACCACCCCCCAGCACCAAAGACCCCACUGCAAAUCAACAACCUCCCAACAAAGGCAUGACUUAUUCAUUUGGAAUCAUAAAGGAAAAGAAAGACAGCAUUGUAAAAUGCACCGUAUGACCAAAUCUUAGUAAAAGCCACAGAUAAAAUAUUAAAA